GACGAGCGCUGGCGGCGUGCCUAAUACAUGCAAGUAGAACGCUGAAGGAGGAGCUUGCUCUUUCCGGAUGAGUUGCGAACGGGUGAGUAACGCGUAGGUAACCUGCCUGGUAGCGGGGGAUAACUAUUGGAAACGAUAGCUAAUACCGCAUAAGAGUAGAUAUCGCAUGAUAGCUGCUUGAAAGGUGCAAUUGCACCACUACCAGAUGGACCUGCGUUGUAUUAGCUAGUUGGUGAGGUAACGGCUCACCAAGGCAACGAUACAUAGCCGACCUGAGAGGGUGAUCGGCCACACUGGGACUGAGACACGGCCCAGACUCCUACGGGAGGCAGCAGUAGGGAAUCUUCGGCAAUGGACGGAAGUCUGACCGAGCAACGCCGCGUGAGUGAAGAAGGUUUUCGGAUCGUAAAGCUCUGUUGUAAGAGAAGAACGAGUGUGAGAGUGGAAAGUUCACACUGUGACG
rnacentral:rRNA from 1 species